CCAGGGCUGUGCUGGUAGCUUGGGCCUGUGCUCAGGUGUGGCUGCAAAGCUGCAGAAGCAAGGCAUCGAUACUUGUGGCCACUCUGUGCACAGGCUGGCGGUGCUGGGUCACGCUGUGCCUGCUGCUCUGGCUAGCCAAGAGCUGCUGCUGAGAACGCCUGCAUUGUCUACUUGCUGGGCUGUCUGCUCCAGGACUGUGCAAGUGGCUUUUCCUGCCAGCCCACCCUCAAACUGAGUCAGGGUCUGAUUUCAGCACUGCUCCUGCUGGCAGCACUGGGACGGGUGCCCUACAGCCCUGCAAAUGAAAGGCAGGAGCUAGAAGUAGGAAUGUAGGGCCAGGAGCUGGUCAGGAAGGACCCAGAUUCAUGGAGAUCAAUCAUAAGAGAAUGAACGUCAACAGCACAUUGAAGAAAUUCCUCUUUGCCCAUCUUGUGUAGCUGGACUGAUGUUCUUUGUCAAAUAACUACCCAGCACAGCAGUCCCUCUCUCUACAUGAUGAAAGAGCUAUCAGGAGGCAGGAGUUCUGGCUGCUGGCCAGCUGUCUGUGGUUCCAGGCUGUUCGGUCAGAAGCACUGGGAUUAAGAGCAGGCAUAUCUCCUGGAGCAGGAAUCAGUGUUCGGCACUCUCCCCUUUCACAUCACACCACCUCAGCUGCUGGGCUGCACGGUUAGAACAACUAUGCAUCUUUGACACAGUGUCACGGAAACCUUUUUCAGAAGUCUGCUUGGAAGGAACUCAUUGUUCUAGCACUCAUGUGCUCCAGUUGUUUGAUAAAAAAGAAAAAGCUCUCUGUUGCAUAAAGAUACAAAUUAGACUGAAAUACAUAAACAUUAUCAAAAACUUGAUUUCUCUUCUGAUUCCUGUUUAUAUUACACUGGUGUGUGGUACGUAUACCUUGUAUACCUUUUACAUAUACAUGAAUAAAAUGGCAGGUGAAGAUACCUAUUCCCAUUUAAUGUUUAUUAUGAAAGUGAUUGUAACAAAUUUUUUAUUACAUGCUUCAUUUUGA
rnacentral:lncRNA from 1 species